rnacentral:lncRNA from 1 species
GGAGGUACUGGGUUACAAGAAGGGAACAGGUGUGAGGGGUGACAACAUACUCAUUCAGCUUUGGACUCGUGCCUGUGGGGGUCCUGUAGGAGAUCUUGCGGACCUGUGCAGUGGGCCGUCGGAAAGGCAAGCCUGACCCUUUCAAGAGAGGUCAGGCCUGGAGACCAAGGGCACUGAAAGAGAACACAGGGCUGAUUCCUUGACCUUUUGCAGUUCAUAGUCUAGUGAGGAAUACGAAUAAUUACAAAGGUGCGUUGACAAUUUGGGUAAAAUUCGGUUAGUUUUGGGAAGGAGGCACUUUUAGAAAGACUCUUUUACAGCCCUCAGCACUGUUAUUGCGUGAACUGGCUCAGCAUGGCCGGCCCAGUGAAGGACGCCAGUGGUAGUAACCGGGGAAGAGGGAUCCCCUGGCUCUUCUUACCAAACUUCUUCGAUCGUUUGGAGUGGUUUGGCCAUCAGUUAGUCAGGAAGAGGCCAGAAGGACACGUGCUGAUAAUGCUUCAAGAAAGUUAAACUUUAGGAAAAACUCGACCGAAGUAAAAAUAGCUAUGUAGUCAGUGACCAAAGCUACUUGGAUGGUCCUGUUGAUUGCUCUUG